ACUGGUGGCUGGGAGCCCCAAGAUGGCUUCAGAAUGGGGGCUGGUCACGAGAAAGACCACAGUAUGAUUAGAACCUCUGGAGAGGAGAGAGGGGCUGAAGGUUGCGUUGAUCCUUUAUGGCCGAUGAUGUAAUCAGUCAGGCCUAUGUCAUAAAGCUUUCAUAAAAAACAAAGAAAACUUGGUUCAGGAGGCUCCAGACAGCUGAACCUGUGGAGGUGCCUGGAGGGUGGAUCUUCCGGAAGGCACAUGGCAGCUCUGCGUCCCUUCCCACAUGCCUUGCCCUAUGCAUCUCUUCCAUCUGGCUGCUCAUCUGUAUCCUUUAUCAUAUCCUUUAAAAGAAACUGGUAAAUGUAAACCCAGGCUGCAGCAUCCACCUCACCCCACCACUCCAAGAAGCCAGAGCCCUGGGACGUCAUGAACCUCACUGCCGCGGGCAUGGGAAUGUCAGGGAGGCUCAUUCUUCCCCUGAAGAUCUGCCUAAGGGUUCUACCAUUUCAAUUCCUUGUGGAACUCAAUCUGUUUUCUUAACUGAUGCAAAAAGACCACUUAAAGGUAAGUCUUUUCAACAAUGGUGCUGGAACAGUUGGACAAAUAUAGGCAAAAAAAUGACUCUCAAA